CCCGGGGCUUUACGCUGUCCCAAUACAGGGACGAGGCCUCUCACCAGACACCAAAAUCGUCUUACUAUUAAUGGCGUCAGGAGAAAGAGACUCAGACACGUCGAUGAGCCCAAGAGUUCCUCUUCAAGGCUGAUCACCAGUGAUAUAUCUUACAGUCACAGACCUAUUGGCGUUGUCGUGCCAUGGAUCAGGUCACCUACUCAAAACACAAAUAGUUCAGAUGUUCAACAUGAUUUUGAAAGAGGAUUCAGAAGAACAUAAUUUAUGAUUUUUCUUUUUCAAUUGUAUAUUUUAUAUCACCGG